UCAAAUAAUAUAAAAAAUAAUAUAUAUAUUGACAUGGAUUAAACAAAGAUAUAUAUUAUUUUAUGUUGUAUAAACAAAUUGGCAAAAUAGAGAUGGAAGAUAAAAAUAUGGUCAAAGUAAUAAGAGUCUAUGGUGGAUGCCUAGGAGCUUUAAGGCGAAGAAGGUCGUGGUAAGCUGCGAAAAGCUUGGGGGGAGAAGCAAACAUUUAUUGAUCCCAAGAUUACCGAAUGGAGUAAUCCAGCUAGCAAGAUGCUAGCUAUCUAUUAUCUAAAUAAUAGAGGCGAUACC
rnacentral:misc_RNA from 1 species